UCCGAAUUUUUAAUACAUACAAUUAUUUAUUACAGUAUGUAACUGCACAAAGACAAAUAGUGUUACCCCCCUUGAUAAUGAGAGAAGUUCUACAAAUUAAACAUAACAAAUGUCAUUGGGGUGUAUAGAGACAUUGGUAAAAUUACUAAAGCAAAAUUAAUCUCGGUACGGAUGAUAACAAUGGCAAAAUCAGUAAUGUCAAAAUGUGAGAUCUGCUUGAAAAGCAACUCAGUGGCUAGACACAGGCAUAGCUAGGAAAGAUUAGGAUAGGAAUAGAAUCAGGAUGACACUUGGCAAGAACCCUCUAGUGAAGUGAAAUUUGGGUGAGCCCUAGAGUCUUUGCUCGGUCCUAUAGCAAACUAUCAGAAUAAAGAAAUGUUGUACAAACUUACAGGUCAGGUAGAUAGAUUGGCAAGAGUGACCUGAGAAAGAUUUAAAGAACUAAAUGUACAAUUACAAGAACCACAAAAUGACUUUACAAAAUCAAUUGGCUCUAGAUUUGCUACUCCUGAAAGAGCAUGGAGCAUGUAAGUUUUUAAAGGGACGGAUUGAUCAUUGCUGCGUCCACAUCCCAAAUGUAACUGCAGAUGUAGAAUAUGACAUCAGUGAGUUGCAACAAAUAAGAGCAUGGAACACAGGAAGAGCAAAAGGAUUUGACUACAAGUUGGUUAGCAAUUUGGUUAGUUUACACCAUCUAAAAAGGAGAAAUACAGAAGAAAACAUCCUGGAACCAGGAAAUAAUAAAGGCACUGACGCGAGAUCCACACCCACCAUCUUCUGGUUCUCCAGUUCAUGACAACAUCUAGGACAACAUUUACAUCAAUCAAGAAUUCAAAGAACAUCAAGUAUAAACUCAGAAACAGAGGACUGUAUCAAGUGAAAACAUUUGCACUUAGAGUGAAGUGAAAAUGCUUUCAAAGGGGGUUAGUAAAAGGUUUUUAAGUCUUAGAAAAUUCGGGGACUUAGAAAGUUAGUUUUGGCAAGCCUGGGAAAAGUAGGCCCUGGGAAAUGUUAGGCCUUGUACUUGAUAAAGAUCAUGUGAAACUGCACCUUUGUAAUCAGUAUAUGAUAAAUGAUACAAUUGUUAGAUGUGAUUAGAUAUAAUUAUUGUUUAAAGAACAUGAGAAACAAUGUUUGGGGUUGAGGGGAUCACGAGAAAUCCAUGCUUGAGUAAAAACAAUGCAUACAAUAGAACAAUGUAAGUUUAAUAAUUAAUAUGUAAAUAAUAUAACGAUAGAGUAUAAAAACAUGUUCAACUCAAAACCAAGUCAGGUCAGAUUUGGCUAUGUGUACCCCUGACACCCAGAGCUCUUCAAUAAAGCACCUUCAUAUAA